rnacentral:rRNA from 1 species
GAUGAACGCUGGCGGUAGGCUUAACACAUGCAAGUCGAGGGGCAGCAUGGUCUUAGCUUGCUAAGACUGAUGGCGACAGGCGCACGGGUGAGUAACGCAUAUGCAACUUGCCUUACAGAGGGGGUUAAGCAGCCGAAAGACGGACUAAUACCGAGUACACUCCACCUUGGGCGUCCUAGGUAGUGGCAGUGAAAGUGGCUGUAAGAGAGGCAUGCGUGCCAUUAGCUAGUUGGUGAGGUAACGGCUCACCAAGGGGACGAUGGGUAGGGGAUCUGAGAGGGUGCACCCCCAGAGUGGUACUGAGCCACGGACCACUCUGCUACGGGACGCAGCGGUGAGGAAUACUGGUGUAUGGAGGAGAGCCUGAACCAGCCAAGUCGGGUGAAGGAUGACUGUCUUCUGGAUUGUAAACUUCUUGUAUACAACAAUAUCAGGAGUCACGUGUGACUCCCUGACGGUACCGUAUGAAUAAGCAUCGGCUAACUACGUG